rnacentral:rRNA from 1 species
AAUAAACGCUGGCGGCGUGCCUAACACAUGCAAGUCGAGCGCGAAAGGGUUUCGGCCUGAGUAGAGCGGCAAACGGGUGAGUAACGCGUAGGAAUCUUCCGUUCAGUGAGGAAUAACUCUGAGAAAUCGGAGCUAAUAUUGCAUACGUCCCAUUGGGAGAAAGGCGGCUUUAUGCUGUCGCUGAAUGACGAGCCUGCGUACUAUCAGCUAGUUGGUGGGGUAAAGGCCUACCAAGGCGAUGACGGUUAGCUGGUCUGAGAGGACGACCAGCCACACUGGAACUGAGACACGGUCCAGACUCCUACGGGAGGCAGCAGUGGGGAAUUUUGGACAAUGGGCGCAAGCCUGAUCCAGCAAUGCCGCGUGCAGGAUGAAGGCCUUCGGGUUGUAAACUGCUUUUGUACGGAACGAAACGGCCCUUUCUAAUACAGGGGGCUAAUGACGGUACCGUAAGAAUAAGCACCGGCUAACUACGUGACAGCAGCCGCAGUAA